CACCACCAAACCCAUCAUCAUCAACAUCCCCUUAGUUCAAUACAAACAGAUUCCCCAAUUUAACCAGACCCCUACUUACCAUGUUUCUUUCAGCAAAUCCACCACUAACACCGCCGCCGCUACCAUCACCUUGUUGAAUUUGAUUAGGGUAAGUAUUUGAAGAUUGCAACUGUUGCUGCUGUUGUUGUGGUUUCUUUCUUUUCUUCUUCUCGUAGGCUAUCCCUCUUGCCUUAGCUUGUGCAUCUCUUACUUCCCUCAGGUAUAGUCUCACGGCGCGUGCUCCAAAUGGGUUGGUCUCCGGCAGCCCGCCGUUCUCCUCGAAGGCUGCUCGGAGGCGUCCGAUCAGCGCGUCGAGGCUUCCCCAGGCCUGCUUAAGUGGACAAGGGCAGGGAGCUGGUGGGUGAGGG
rnacentral:lncRNA from 1 species